rnacentral:lncRNA from 1 species
UAGGUUCCCAGGAUAGCCCAAACAGUCUGGAUUCAUAAAAUGAAUCUCAGGUCAACUCAGCAUUCUAACACUGCUAAGGCUGUGCAUACAGUUUGUAACCUUGGUUAAGACUCAGUAAAAUAUCUUAGUCUACUCAGAGUAGUGUAGACUAGUAACAACAGUACUGUGGAGACCACAGGAUGACAGAAAUGGUGGUCAGCUGCUUAGCUGGACUUCUGAGACUUACUUUCCAACAGGGUGAACCUCCACUUCCUAAAAACCAAACAAAAACAAAAACCUGCCAUCACAGAUGAAUGCCUGUGACAUUCUGGGGCUCAGAGUAGAACAAGAGGGGACACUGAAGCAUCGCCAGCCCCACCUAUGAGCCUGGACUGUGCACUUCUCUCAUCCUUCUGGAGCACACGGAAGAGCAGUGACUUUCACGUGAUGAUCUCAGAAUAACUACAAAGUGUACGUCCUUUGUGACCACUGUUAGAAUCAAGCACACGCAGCCCAUCUGGUUUCCCAGCUAUCCAUCUACCAUGGGAUCAACCCACAUCUACUGAGCUGACAUCUGAAGCUUCCCAGCAAAAACUAAGCAUGUGGGUUUCCAAUCUGAGAGAUACCUAGGUCCUCGUCUCUUGAACCUACUGCUCAAAAAGUAACUGACAUUGCAAAAGAAGACAGGAAGUGCCCAUCAAGCAUUGGAGCAGGGUGGACUUGGGGAUGCUGAGCGUCAACAGAUCUAUUGAAAACAAGAGGAUCUCGACGUCUAACACGCAAAGACAGUGUGUGAACUAUGUCUAAGAGCUUCAUUGUGUGGGCCAAGGAAGACUUUAGCCCUCUCUUCUCUCCACCCCGGAAUCCCAGGACAGAGUCACUGGUAUCAGAGUGUCAAGUGGUAGUGUUUAUUGCCAAGCACGGUCAUGGGUGUUAAAGAAGGCAGAGCCACAGACAGCGCGUCUAUUCUCUCAUCCCUGCAGACCAAGGAAUCUGCAAACAGAACCAGGGCACAAGCUUCCUCAGUGCCGGGCUCUAACUUGGCCCACGGCUUCUUGAGGCAGAGGGCAUUUCUCCGCAGAGCAUGCUAACACUUCUUGAUACUGAUGUGGCCGGGAGAGAGCUGGAGACAAUACCACACCUGAGACUAUGCUGCGACUCCCUCUUUGGUUUGAGGCCAAUCAUUUACUAAGUGGCAACUAACUCUUAAAAGUAGGACACACAGGAAGCUGACAGUCCAAGCACCAUUGAGAGAUGAAUAAGCUCUGGAGACUAGAUCAUGGUCUGGUGGCUUUGGUUAACAAUACUGCAUUCCAAACACAGCUGGAAGGUCUGGUGUGAGGUUGUCCUGCCACGUUAAGCCAGACACCAGACAGGAAACACCAAUGGGACAGUGACACGUGGUCAUAAAACCAACCUUAGCUGACCCCAUGGAGGUAUACACCUUAGGAGUAUGUACUCUUUCAGAGUAAGACAUGAUAUCACUGCACCUGAAAAGUCACAGAUUUAGCUAGAUCUGCUGACUAGCAAGCUCUAGCCAUCCUCCUGCCUCUGGUUCCUCAGAGCUGGGAUCGCAGGUGUCCACUACCACUCUUGGCUUGUUCUGUGAAUGCCAAGGAUCUAGGUCCUCACGGUUGCGCAAUGAGUUCUUUAAUGCAUGAGCCAUUUCCUUGGAUCCUCUAACUCUCCAACUCAAAUGUGACUUUUGUAACCUGAAAAUGUUCACUCGAGUCAGUCACACUCCAUGAACACAGAAUCUCAAGGACAGGGACCAGUAAGGAAGCAAGCUGUGAUAGCCAGCCUUGGUUUUCAUCUUGACUCCAUCUGGAAUCAUGUAACACCUAAGCAGCUGCACACCUGAUUAGGAUUUUCUUGAAUGGAUCAUUUGAAGUGAGGGAAAGCACCCUAGAUCUGGGUACAUCGUGUACCCCCACGUCUAAGGACAUGGAAGGAGGAGGCUUACCUUUUGGCUACCUGCCCACUCUCUGGCUGACAAACUCAUCCUUCCUGCUGUUGGCCCAUCAUUUCACUGGUAUUAGCACUGACAUCUUUAGAAUUCCACCACAGACUGAAGAGUACAGAGAGAUCCAGCCGCCUGGACUGAAAAACUACGAGAUUCUUGGCCUUUCUAUUAGAAGACAGCCAUUCGGACUCGCUAACCCACAACCGUCAACGGCCAGAAUCUCCACACUCCACAAUCUACACUGUCACCAAGUGAACGCAUGAUGAGCAAGACACUCAUUUCCCGGUUCAAACUGCCUAUGGAAAGCACAUGAGCCGGAAGAGGAAUCCUUUUUGCCUGGAUAGAAAAUACUAGAGAUCCAAAGGAAGGUCAGCUAAGUGGCACCUGUGUGUGUCCAGGAAGGAAGAGACUUGUAGACUAAGAUGCCAACGAGGAAGUCUUGUGCCUUUGAGAACAAACUCGCAUUUCUCCUGUGAUCUUGACAGCAGGUAUACGGAUGAAGCUGAAACUGCCGAGACAUGCUUAAACUUAAACCAUGGGAGAGCGGAAUGUUUUCCACUUAUUUAUAGAGACCCAGGUCUUCCAACUCUUGGAAAGAGAAUUCCACUCCUCAACAAAGCGGUCUGUCAAUGCCUCUCGAAGCUCACUCAGCUUUAUCUUUCCAUGAAACCACCCUUUUGAGGUUGAGUGUUGGAAUUAAGUGUGCACCAGCUGUUACAAAGAUGUUGGACUGCUCCAUCAGGUGGCAAACAUUUUCCUCUAAGAAAAGAUCCCUUCGCUUUUCCUCCUAAGUCUACAUGUCAAAAGACAGCAGCCUGGUGUGUCUAUAGUCUGCCUCAUUUCUAAGACCAUCUACCUCUCACUCCCUGUGUUCUUAAAGAAACUAGAACAGCCACCACACAGCUCAGGUGUGCUAGCUUGUAGACAGUUUCAAAAGGAUGCUCAAGAAAGUUUGGGAGGAGCUAAGAGACAUCAAUUAUGUAAUGAAGAGACAAUAAAUAAUUAGCUA